UACGAAGGGGGCUAGCGUUGCUCGGAAUCACUGGGCGUAAAGGGCGCGUAGGCGGCUUUGUAAGUCGGGGGUGAAAGCCUGUGGCUCAACCACAGAAUUGCCUUCGAUACUGCAUGGCUUGAGACCGGAAGAGGUAAGUGGAACUGCGAGUGUAGAGGUGAAAUUCGUAGAUAUUCGCAAGAACACCAGUGGCGAAGGCGGCUCACUGGCCCGGUACUGACGCUGAGGUGCGAAAGCGUGGGGAGCAAACAGG
rnacentral:rRNA from 1 species